UCCCUGUGCCGUCUCGAGAGUCCCAAAGCAAUUCAAUUGCUUCUCAAACCAAGUAUCCGUUUGCCAUCAACUUCCCAACGUUAAAGUCUUCCAACCGUCCGUGGCAACAUUCCAUCUCCUCUGUUUUGGAACAAACCCAGCACUCAGCUCUUCAACCGUCGCCACAUUCCAUCCGUUCGAGCACGCGUCCGUGAGGAGCUUCCCAGUUUUCCCAACCGAUCGUGGCAUCUCCUCAGAGUCCUUCCGUCUCCCCUGUUUCUUCCCAGCUCAUCCACAAAUCCAGCGGCUGUGAGGAGUCUUCUCAACACCCCAACAGUCAUCUUCUUCCACACUUCCCAACCGCAUCCCAACGUCCGUCCAUGGCAUCUCAAGCGUUGUGGCAUCAACCAGCCGCAUGGCUUUUUGUCUUCCAACCGGAUCAUUCCAAGCAACAGUGGAAGCAUCCCAGCAGCCGAAGAUCCCAAGCGAUUCAA
rnacentral:lncRNA from 1 species